rnacentral:misc_RNA from 1 species
AUUUUACGCAACUUUUGUGAGACUCCAGAAAAAUAAAUAUUUUUGCAGCAGGCAAUCUGCGCGGUUGCAGCAUUUUGCGGCCGGAGGUACUAUAUGAGAGAGAAAUCUCUUAGGAAUAGUGCGUAUGAAAUUCAUACGUCCAUUCCAUUCGGAAGUAAUUUAUAUGAAUUUUCGUAAUCUAUAUGAAUUUUCAUACAAAUUACCUCCUUGGCCCCGCGAUUUAUCGCUCAAGUCUCGGGCUGACAACGUCUCCCCGAGCAAGGUGAAACAGUGGAUUACUAGGCAAUGCCAAAUCUACAAACUCACAGAUCUUUAGAUCUUUUUGCUACGAGUCAGUGGACAAUCUUUAAUUAAUAACUUCUUA